rnacentral:rRNA from 1 species
AGGACGAACGCUGGCGGCGUGCUUAACACAUGCAAGUCGAGCGGUGAUCCUCCUUCGGGAGGUGAGCAGCGGCGAACGGGUGAGUAACACGUGGGCAACCUGCCCCUCACACUGGGAUAACCUCGGGAAACCGGGGCUAAUACCGGAUAUGACCUCGAGCGGCAUCUCUUGAGGUGGAAAGCUCCGACGGUGAGGGAUGGGCCCGCGGCCUAUCAGCUUGUUGGUGGGGUAAUGGCCUACCAAGGCGACGACGGGUAGCCGGCCUGAGAGGGCGACCGGCCACACUGGGACUGAGACACGGCCCAGACUCCUACGGGAGGCAGCAGUGGGGAAUAUUGCGCAAUGGGCGAAAGCCUGACGCAGCGACGCCGCGUGAGGGAUGAAGGCCUUCGGGUUGUAAACCUCUUUCAGCAGGGACGAAGCGAAAGUGACGGUACCUGCAGAAGAGCACCGGCUAACUACGCGCCAGCAGCCGCGGUAA